CAUGAGAUUCCCAAAUAAACUUCCUGCAUGCAAAUCUCCAUCUCAGCAUCUGUUUCCCUGAGGAGGAACCAACCUAAAAUGAAUUGCAAAUUAAAAUCUCAAAGUGAGUCAAAGCAACCAGAAUUUCCCUUCCCAAGGUGAGGGCAUGUCGGUGAUGAAACUAUCACUACUGUUCAAGGUGCCAGAAGUUUGACUUACCAUCGCUUUUGAACAAUCAUCACUACAUGUCAGCGUGGGAAAAAGAAUAAAAUAACAUCUUAAUAUUAUUAUGAAAACAGUUUUGGCCUCAUGGACCCCUUGAAAA
rnacentral:lncRNA from 10 species